CCAACUUUGAAUCUGCAGUCAAACAAUAUAUGCUCUCUCCUAAAGAGGCCUGUAUUAUGCUUAAAAUGUGGGCACCAAGCAGCAUUGCAUGCAGAUUAAAUUCCCCCAUAAAUGGGCCCAUUAAUCGGGAUCAAGACUGGUUCAAAGAAGACAAAUGGGGGACAGAAGGAGACAGGCUUAGAGCAAUCUCCAAAUUGAUUACUGGAGAAAGAGAUUUAGACAGUCAUUCACUCGCUGAAAUGAAGGUACACUUACAGGAUGAUCC